GAUGAACGCUAGCGGCAGGCCUAAUACAUGCAAGUCGGACGGGAUUCAGGAGCUUGCUUCUGAUGAGAGUGGCGCACGGGUGCGUAACACGUAUGUAACCUACCUUUAUCAGGGGGAUAGCCUCUCGAAAGAGAGAUUAAGCCCGCAUAAAAUCGCAGCACAGCAUUGUGUAAUGAUCAAAUAUUUAUAGGAUAAAGAUGGGCAUGCGGAACAUUAGCUAGAUGGCGGGGUAACGGCCCACCAUGGCGACGAUGUUUAGGGGAUCUGAGAGGAUGGCCCCCCACACUGGUACUGAGACACGGACCAGACUCCUACGGGAGGCAGCAGUAAGGAAUAUUGGUCAAUGGGCGGAAGCCUGAACCAGCCAUGCCGCGUGCAGGAAGACGGCCCUACGGGUUGUAAACUGCUUUUAUACGGGAAUAAACCCAGAUACGUGUAUCUGGCUGAAUGCACUGUAAGAAUAAGGAUCGGCUAACUCCGUG
rnacentral:rRNA from 1 species